rnacentral:rRNA from 1 species
UUCCGGUUGAUCCCGCCGGAGGCUACCGCUAUUGGAAUCCGAUUAAGCCAUGCGAGUCGAGAGAUUUCGGAUCUCGGCAGACGUCUCAGUAACACGUGGAUAAUCUACCCUUGAGUGGGGGAUAAGCUUGGAAACCUGAGUAUAAUACCCCAUAGGCCUAGGAUGCUGGAAUGCUUCUAGGCUGAAAGCUCCGGCGCUCGAGGAUGAAUCUGCGGCCUAUCAGGCUGUAGUGGGUGUAACGGACCCACUAACCUUCGACGGGUACGGGCCUUGAGAGAGGUUGCCCGGAGUUGGACUCUGAGACACGAGUCCAGGCCCUACGGGGUGCAGCAGGCGCGAAAACUUCACAAUGUGGGAAACCACGAUGAGGGGAUUCCAAGUGCCAGCACAUAGUGUUGGCUGUUCACUUGCCUAAAAAGCUGGUGAAGUAAGAGCCGGGUAAGACGGGUGCCAGCCGCCGCGGUAAUACCCGCGGCUCGAGUGGUGGCCACUAUUAUUGAGCCUAAAGCGUUCGUAGCCGGUUUCGUAAAUUUCUGGGUAAAUCGGGCAGCUUAACUGUCCGAAUUCCGGAAAGACUGCGAAACUUGGGACCGGAGGAGGUUGGAGGUACUCCUGGGGUAGGGGUGAAAUCCUGUAAUCCUGGGGGGACCACCAGUGGCGAAGGCGUCCAACCAAAACGGCUCCGACGGUAAGGGACGAAGCCCUGGGGCGCAAACGGGAUUAGAUACCCCGGUAGUCCAGGGUGUAAACGCUGCAGGCUUGGUGUUGGGGGUCCUACGAGGGCGCCCAGUGCCGGAGAGAAGUUGUUAAGCCUGCCGCUUGGGGAGUACGUCCGCAAGGAUGAACUUAAAGGAAUUGGCGGGGGAGCACAGCAACGGGUGGAGCGUGCGGUUCAUUGGAUUCAACGCCGGA